AGUCUCCUGCACUACCCGAGACUCAGAGAAUUCAGCAAGACGCUUUUGAAUGGUGCACAUGUGGAAAUUGUGCAACAAUGCCGUCAGAGCCUGAGAACUUAUGCUGCCAGGAGGUACCACAGGUUACAAGACGGCUGCAGCAGCUGGAUGAAAGGCCUCCAUGUAUGAUAGGCAAACAGGUUCUAAACCUGGACGGUCUAAAUGUGUUCUCACUGCAGAAUGCAUGCAACAUUUACAGGGCUGACUAUGGUCCUUUAAAGUUAAGGGGAAUAGAGCAGUGAGUUAUCUGUAAUAACCUACUUACAUUCACUGUUCAUACAACAUAAUAAAGCAAAUAUAGUCUGCCAAAGC